rnacentral:rRNA from 1 species
GUCGGAAAGUUAUCCAAACUCGGUCAUUUAGAGGAAGUAAAAGUCGUAACAAGGUCUCCGUUGGUGAACCAGCGGAGGGAUCAUUACUGAGUUUACGCUCUGCAACCCUUUGUGAACAUACCUAUAACUGUUGCUUCGGCGGGUAGGGUCCCCGUGACCCUCCCGGCCC